rnacentral:tRNA from 1 species
UAGAUUGAAGCCAGUUGUGUUGGGCGUUUAGCUGUUAACUAAAUUUUUGUAGGUU